UCCUACUUCAACCACAAAGUUUCCAUCUCAACAAUUAAUGAACCACAACCCGUCAACCUCUCUAUGGAUGAGGAGAUAAAGGAGGGUCAGAGUGUGUCUCCAUCCUGCUCUGUGUUUUACUCCUGCCCCACCUCUCCUCUUGUUUUCCACUGGAGUCACUCCGGAGACCAGCACUUUCACUCACAGCUGCUCAGUGACGGCCAGUGGAAAUCAACGUCUACUCUGACAUUUCACCCGACCCGUGCUGACCACAAGAAGUCAUUACAAUGCAGUGUUGAAAUGCACAAUAGAAAGCCGCUGUACACAGGAUCCAAGGUCAUUCAAGUGAAAUAUGCUCCAGUGAAUGUGAAGGUUAAGUACCAAUCAGAUGUGAAGGAGGGACAAACUGUCCACCUGAGUUGCUCCAGUGAUGCUAACCCUCGUGUCAGUAGCUACGAG